rnacentral:rRNA from 1 species
UACAGAGGGGGGCAAGCGUUGUUCGGAAUUACUGGGCGUAAAGGGCGCGUAGGCGGCCUUCUAAGUCGAACGUGAAAUCCCUGGGCUCAACCCAGGAACUGCGUCCGAUACUGGAAGGCUUGAAUCCGGGAGAGGGAUGCGGAAUUCCAGGUGUAGCGGUGAAAUGCGUAGAUAUCUGGAGGAACACCGGUGGCGAAGGCGGCAUCCUGGACCGGCAUUGACGCUGAGGCGCGAAAGCUAGGGGAGCAAACGGG